rnacentral:rRNA from 1 species
UUGGAGGGCAAGUCUGGUGCCAGCAGCCGCGGUAAUUCCAGCUCCAAUAGCGUAUAUUAAAGUUGUUGCAGUUAAAAAGCUCGUAGUUGAAUUUCGGGAUUAGUACGUUGGUCGUGCCUUCGGUACGUACUGGUGUUACUGAUUCCUACCUUCUGACGAACCAUCAUGUCAUUAAUUUGGUGUGGUGGGGAAUCAGGACUGUUACUUUGAAAAAAUUAGAGUGUUUAAAGCAGGCUCGCGCUUGAAUACAUUAGCAUGGAAUAAUGAAAUAGGGCGUUCGAUCCUAUUUUGUUGGUUUCUAGGAUUGACGUAAUGAUUAAUAGGGAUAGUUGGGGGCAUUAGUAUUCAAUUGUCAGAGGUGGAAUUCUUGGAUUUAUUGAAGACUAACUACUGCGAAAGCAUUUGCCAAGGAUGUUUUCAUUAAUCAAGAACGAAAGUUAGGGGAUCGAAGACGAUCAGAUACCGUCGUAGUCUUAACCAUAAACUAUGCCGACUAGGGAUCGGAUGAUGUUAUUUUUAAUGACUCAUUCGGCGCCUUACGGGAAAC